rnacentral:rRNA from 1 species
UACAGAGGUCUCAAGCGUUGUUCGGAUUCAUUGGGCGUAAAGGGUGCGUAGGCGGCGCGGUAAGUCGGGUGUGAAAUCUUGGAGCUUAACUCCGAAACUGCAUUCGAUACUGCCGUGCUUGAGGACUGGAGAGGAGACUGGAAUUUACGGUGUAGCGGUGAAAUGCGUAGAUAUCGUAAGGAAGACCAGUGGCGAAGGCGGCUCACUGGCCCGGAACUGACGCUGAGACGCGAA